rnacentral:rRNA from 1 species
UUUUGGACAAUGGGCGCAAGCCUGAUCCAGCCAUGCCGCGUGAGUGAAGAAGGCCUUCGGGUUGUAAAGCUCUUUCGGUGAAGACGAAACGGUCAAUGCUAAUAACAUUGACUAAUGACGGUACUCACAGAAGAAGCACCGGCUAACUACGUGCCAGCAGCCGCGGUAAUACGUAGGGUGCAGGCGUUAAUCGGAAUUACUGGGCGUAAAGCGUGCGCAGGCGGUUUGCUAAGACAGGUGUGAAAUCCCCGGGCUUAACCUGGGAAUUGCGCUUGUAACUGGCAAGCUAGAGUGUAGCAGAGGGGGGUAGAAUUCCACGUGUAGCAGUGAAAUGCGUAGAUAUGUGGAGGAAUACCGAUGGCGAAGGCAGCCCCCUGGGUUAACACUGACGCUCAUGCACGAAAGCGUGGGGAGCAAACAGG